GGCUGUGUUUCUAGGAAGGCUCAUAUUGUAAGAGCUGAAAGACACCAAUCUAUUCUCUUAGGUGGAUGACAGUCAAGUGAGUGCAGCUACAGAGGAGGAAGGGAGAGGGAGAGAGAGACAGACAUGUCUGAACUGUCAAAUUCUCCCAGCAGCUCCAACAGCGGGAGCCUGCAGUGAAGACCAUGGUGACACAGGCUGUCCCCCUGCAGCCCACGGAGGUCCAUGGCGGAGCAGAUAUGCACCCUGCAGCCGAUGGAGGACCCCUCGCCAGAGCAGGCGGAUUCACCCGAAGGAGGCUGUGACACUGUGGAGAGGAGCCCACACUGGAGCAGGUUUUCUGGCAGGACCUGCGGCCCCAUGGGAGUGACACCACACUGGAACAGAAGAAGAGCACAAAGAAGGAAGGAGCAGCAGAGACAACUUGUGAUGAACUGACUGCAACCCCCCGCUCCUUCUCCCCCUGUGCUGCUCGGUAGGAGGAGGUAGAGAAGUCAGGAGUGAAGAUGAGCCCAGGAAAAAGAGAGAGGGGUGGGGGGAAGGUGUUUUUCAGAUUUGUUUGUAUUUCUCAUUAUUGUACUCUGAUUUUGACUGACAAUAAAUUAAUUUCCCCAAGUCGA